GGCGUUUUCAUUCAUACAAACAUCGCAAACCACUUGCUCCUUCUUGUUGCUAGAGUAUCAUCAGUUACUUUUGAAAUGGCCAACUUCAACGUCAUGCUCUCUUGUCUUUUACUGUUCGGAUUGAUUACAUCUGGAGUUUCUGUUGACUGGAAUGAUCCCCGAACAGGCAUAUGCUUCUGGGCUAGAGAUGCAAGGAUUUCGUUGAAAGAUGAUCCGAGACUUUACAAAUAUUGUGCCAUGGUCAUUGCUUCCCAGAAUGAAGAUAGAAAAAAAUAUUGAAAGUUGUCUGAGAAAGUCAAAAUAAAAUUAUCAGAGUAGUCUUCACGUUUCCGUUAUUUUAAUAAAUGAAAUGUGUUUGUCAAAAAGGCCAUGCAAGAAAGACUCUAAAUCAUACACAUAAUA